CCUACGGGAGGCUGCAGUGAGGAAUCUUCCGCAAUGGGCGAAAGCCUGACGGAGCAAUGCCGCGUGUGGGAUGAAGCAGCUUCGCUGUGUAAACCACUGUCAGGGGGCAGGAACACUGACCGCCCCCAGAGGAAGCACCGGCUAAACUCGUGCCAGCAGCCGCGGUAAUACGAGUGGUGCGAGCGUUAAUCGGAAUUACUGGGCUUAAAGGGUGCGCAGGCGGGUCCGCAAGCACUUUGUGAAAUCCCCCGGCUCAACCGGGGAACUGCAGGGUGGACUGCGGGUCUUGAGAGAGGUAGGGGCCGACGGAACGAUCGGUGGAGCGGUGAAAUGCGUAGAUAUCGAUCGGAACGCCAAUGGUGAAGACAGUCGGCUGGGCCUUUACUGACGCUCAUGCACGAAAGCGUGGGGAGCAAACAGGAUUAGAUACCCCUGUAGUC
rnacentral:rRNA from 1 species